AGAACGAACGCUGGCGGCAUGCCUAACACAUGCAAGUCGAACGAGAUCCUUCGGGGUCUAGUGGCGCACGGGUGCGUAACGCGUGGGAAUCUGCCCUUAGGUACGGAAUAACUCAGGGAAACUUGUGCUAAUACCGUAUGAUGUCUUCGGACCAAAGAUUUAUCGCCUAGGGAUGAGCCCGCGUAGGAUUAGCUAGUUGGUGGGGUAACGGCCUACCAAGGCGACGAUGGGUAGCUGGUGUGAGAGCACGACCAGCCACACGGGCACUGAGACACGGGCCCGACUCCUACGGGAGGCAGCAGUGAGGAAUAUUGGUCAAUGGACGCAAGUCUGAACCAGCCAUGCCGCGUGAAGGAUGAAGGCCCUUUCUGGGUUGUAAAACUUUCUUUUUACCGUGGGGAAGAAACCCUACUUUUUUUCUAAAAAGUGUUUGACGGUACCAGAGGAAUAAGCACCGGCUAACUCCGUGCCAGCAGCCGC
rnacentral:rRNA from 1 species